rnacentral:rRNA from 1 species
GUGGGGAAUAUUGGACAAUGGGGGGAACCCUGAUCCAGCCAUGCCGCGUGUGUGAAGAAGGCCUUUUGGUUGUAAAGCACUUUAAGCGAGGAGGAGGCUACCGAGAUUAAUACUCUUGGAUAGUGGACGUUACUCGCAGAAUAAGCACCGGCUAACUCUGUGCCAGCAGCCGCGGUAAUACAGAGGGUGCAAGCGUUAAUCGGAUUUACUGGGCGUAAAGCGCGCGUAGGUGGCCAAUUAAGUCAAAUGUGAAAUCCCCGAGAUUAACUUGGGAAUUGCAUUCGAUACUGGUUGGCUAGAGUAUGGGAGAGGAUGGUAGAGUACCAGGUGUAGCGGUGAAAUGCGUAGAGAUCUGGAGGAAUACCGAUGGCGAAGGCAGCCAUCUGGCCUAAUACUGACACUGAGGUGCGAAAGCAUGGGGAGCAAACAGGAUUAGAAACCCGUGUAGUCC